AGACUUACCUGGCAGGGGCGGGACCAUGAUCAAGAAGGUGUUUCACCCAGGGCAAGGCUCAGCUGUUGCACUCCAGUUGUGCUGGCCCCUGCGAAUCCCCUAAAUGUGGGAAUCUCGACUGCAUCAUUUCUUUUUUUAUUUUAUUUUAUGCAAUUUU